rnacentral:ncRNA from 1 species
GCUUUAUGUAAAUGUAAAACCUCACCCGGCCUGGACACGGACAGGAUUGACAGAUUGAUAGCUCUUUCUCGAUUCCGUGGGUAGUGGUGCAUGGCCGUUCUUAGUUGGUGGAGCAAUUUGUCUGGUUAAUUCCGAUAACGAACGAGACUCUGGCAUGCUAACUAGUUACGCGACCCCCGAGCGGUCGGCGUCCCCCAACUUCUUAGAGGGCUCUGCCCGCCUCUGCCCGCCUCCUCUUCUUAUAGGGACAAGUGCGUUCAGCCACCCGAGAUUGAGCAAUAACAGGUCUGUGAUGCCCUUAGAUGUCCGGGGCUGCA